rnacentral:rRNA from 1 species
CUGGCGGCGUGCCUAAUACAUGCAAGUAGAACGCUGAAGAGAGGAGCUUGCUCUUCUUGGAUGAGUUGCGAACGGGUGAGUAACACGUAGGUAACCUGCCUUGUAGCGGGGGAUAACUAUUGGAAACGAUAGCUAAUACCGCAUAACAAUGGAUGACACAUGUCAUUUAUUUGAAAGGGGCAAUUGCUCCACUACAAGAUGGACCUGCGUUGUAUUAGCUAGUAGGUGAGGUAACGGCUCACCUAGGCGACGAUACAUAGCCGACCUGAGAGGGUGAUCGGCCACACUGGGACUGAGACACGGCCCAGACUCCUACGGGAGGCAGCAGUAGGGAAUCUUCGGCAAUGGGGGCAACCCUGACCGAGCAACGCCGCGUGAGUGAAGAAGGUUUUCGGAUCGUAAAGCUCUGUUGUAAGUCAAGAACGAGUGUGAGAGUGGAAAGUUCACACUGUGACGGUAGCUUACCAGAAAGGGACGGCUAACUACGUGCCAGCAGCCGCGGUAAUACGUAGGUCCCGAGCGUUGUCCGGAUUUAUUGGGCGUAAAGCGAGCGCAGGCGGUUUGAUAAGUCUGAAGUUAAAGGCUGUGGCUCAACCAUAGUUCGCUUUGGAAACUGUCAAACUUGAGUGCAGAAGGGGAGAGUGGAAUUCCAUGUGUAGCGGUGAAAUGCGUAGAUAUAUGGAGGAACACCGGUGGCGAAAGCGGCUCUCUGGUCUGUAACUGACGCUGAGGCUCGAAAGCGUGGGGAGCGAACAGGAUUAGAUACCCUGGUAGUCCACGCCGUAAACGAUGAGUGCUAGGUGUUGGAUCCUUUCCGGGAUUCAGUGCCGCAGCUAACGCAUUAAGCACUCCGCCUGGGGAGUACGACCGCAAGGUUGAAACUCAAAGGAAUUGACGGGGGCCCGCACAAGCGGUGGAGCAUGUGGUUUAAUUCGAAGCAACGCGAAGAACCUUACCAGGUCUUGACAUCCCGAUGCUAUUUCUAGAGAUAGAAAGUUACUUCGGUACAUCGGUGACAGGUGGUGCAUGGUUGUCGUCAGCUCGUGUCGUGAGAUGUUGGGUUAAGUCCCGCAACGAGCGCAACCCCUAUUGUUAGUUGCCAUCAUUCAGUUGGGCACUCUAGCGAGACUGCCGGUAAUAAACCGGAGGAAGGUGGGGAUGACGUCAAAUCAUCAUGCCCCUUAUGACCUGGGCUACACACGUGCUACAAUGGUUGGUACAACGAGUUGCGAGUCGGUGACGGCAAGCUAAUCUCUUAAAGCCAAUCUCAGUUCGGAUUGUAGGCUGCAACUCGCCUACAUGAAGUCGGAAUCGCUAGUAAUCGCGGAUCAGCACGCCGCGGUGAAUACGUUCCCGGGCCUUGUACACACCGCCCGUCACACCACGAGAGUUUGUAACACCCGAAGUCGAUGAGGUAACCUUUUGGAGCCAGCCGCCUAAGGUGGGAUAGAAAA